UAGGGGUCGCAGGAUAAAAAGGAUUUUGAGGGAGGGCGUGCAAGAAUUUACCUUGAUUGCCGAUAGAGGGAGACUCUGUUGUGGGUGUAGGAUUGGGUGCUAGGUAUCACGUGCGGUGGAGGGGUGAACAUGACGUCACAAGAGAGCUCGGCAGAGGGCGUGGAAGCAAAGAAAAUGCGCGUACAGAAGGUUUUCUCUUUAUCAAACAACCAAAAGAAGCGCUAGGGACAGGGUAACUGCGCAAGAACCAUCCCCUAUAGAAGAACAUUUUUAUACUCUGUGGAAGAUCGAUUGCACCCACCUCCUCCGUCUCCACACCGUAGAAACAUCGCCAAAAAACGCUCCUUGUUAAUUAUAAUUUUUUUUUGAAAAAAGGGAGAUGCUUUUCCAUUUUCGAUGGACCGUCCCUACGAUAAAUUUACGUUCCUUAUAGGAAUAAAUGUUCGUGGCGCCGCGCGAAUUCCUUCACAACUUUUAUCGUGAUCACUCCUUAUCCCUUAACUUCGCGGAAGAAAUUUCAUCAGUUUCGGUUUCGGCGUUAUCGCGCUACCGUUGAUUUAGGGAAUUGAGACUGGAAAAAAAGGAUGGAUAUUUUUGCCGAUGUUUUGAUUGGAUUUUACCAAUAUAAAAAUAAAAUACUACCUGUUCAUAACAGGGCAAGUGCAAUCUAUCUACAAUGAAGGUGUUUUUAGUCGUUCACAGUCUGCCUUUCCCAUCACCUGCUAUAGUUUACGUCUGAUGCUUUCAGAAUCAAGAAAUAAAUUUGAUAAAUGUACCAACAUGGGGACAUGUAUUUUUUUUCGCUAAGCACAUGACUAAAUUCUUACAAACAACCUAAAAAUGGAUUGAAAUAAUUAGUUUUCCUGGAAACACCAGGAAUGUCGCUGAUUUUAUGUUUUUAUGUGAGUAAUAAAAAUGUUUAUUUGAUAAAUGA